rnacentral:lncRNA from 1 species
GCGGAAAACUUAGGAAGAGCUGGAUGCCUCCCACGGAGAGCGUCCCUUCCAAGCGGCCCCGGAGUGGAGUGGAGUGGAUAGGGGUAGACUUUUCACACGGGGACAAAUUAUUACAGGAUAUCUGCACCCCCCGUUCCGAGUCACUCGGGCGCAUCGGUUACUUCAGCAGGUUCUCUGCAUCACGGACCCUUUUGAGGCUCAGGCCCUGUCCUACCAUGAGCUGAAGAGGCAGCAACAUACGUGUUUGGAGUUUAGUAGGGACUGAGAAGCGGGGAAAAGAACUGCCUAACCAAAGAGAUGGUAUCUCGAUGUGUUCUCCUGGCUGGCCUUGAACUCCU